rnacentral:rRNA from 1 species
UACGGGGGGGGCAAGCGUUGUUCGGAAUUACUGGGCGUAAAGGGCUCGUAGGCGGCCAACUAAGUCAGACGUGAAAUCCCUCGGCUUAACCGGGGAACUGCGUCUGAUACUGGAUGGCUUGAGUGUAGGAGAGGGAUGCGGAAUUCCAGGUGUAAGCGGUGAAAUGCGUAGAUAUCUGGAGGAACACCGGUGGCGAAGGCGGCAUCCUGGACUACUACUGACGCUGAGGCACGAAAGCGUGGGGAGCAAACAGG